UAAUCAGCAACGAACAAGAGAGUAUCCUGUGACUGGUUUUCAGAGAGAACGUCAUUUGCUGAGAGACGUUUAAUCAGAGCAGCGAGAAAGUAGCUUGUGAGCUAUCCAUUCGAAAUUGAGGGUGGAUCGGUAAGUUCGACCGUUAUUCGAUAUUAAGUGGGGUUAAUAGCCCAAUUUAGGUGGUACCGCGAGCAUCUCGUCCUAAUC
rnacentral:ncRNA from 1 species